rnacentral:rRNA from 1 species
GGGUUGUGAGGUUAAGCGACUAAGCGUACACGGUGGAUGCCCUGGCAGUCAGAGGCGAUGAAGGACGUGCUAAUCUGCGAUAAGCGCCGGUAAGGUGAUAUGAACCGUUAUAACCGGCGAUUUCCGAAUGGGGAAACCCAGUGUGAUUCGUCACACUAUCAUUAACUGAAUCCAUAGGUUAAUGAGGCGAACCGGGGGAACUGAAACAUCUAAGUACCCCGAGGAAAAGAAAUCAACCGAGAUUCCCCCAGUAGCGGCGAGCGAACGGGGAGGAGCCCAGAGCCUGAAUCAGCAUGUGUGUUAGUGGAAGCGUCUGGAAAGGCGCGCGAUACAGGGUGACAGCCCCGUACACAAAAGCGCAUGUGCUGUGAGCUCGAUGAGUAGGGCGGGACACGUGGUAUCCUGUCUGAAUAUGGGGGGACCAUCCUCCAAGGCUAAAUACUCCUGACUGACCGAUAGUGAACCAGUACCGUGAGGGAAAGGCGAAAAGAACCCCGGCGAGGGGAGUGAAAAAGAACCUGAAACCGUGUACGUACAAGCAGUGGGAGCACAGGUUUACCUGUGUGACUGCGUACCUUUUGUAUAAUGGGUCAGCGACUUAUAUUCUGUAGCAAGGUUAAC